CCGCACUGCUGAGGUGUUGGGGAAAAAAAAAUAAAAAUAUUCUCGAAGCUGCUGAAACGAAUCGACAUUCCAACGAAUCAUCUGGUCCUCGCGGUCAGGAUGCGCUUCUUCCGACGACGUGUGCCGGAGUUCGUAUGGAUGCCGGCAUCAAAUCCCAUUGACGGCGGAUGCGGUCAAUUUGCCAUCGCUGGAUUUAAAAUGCGGAUUCAAAUAAACCGUAGGGAUGUGUUGCUGCUGCUGCUGAUCAAGCUGCCGAUGAUGUUGAUCGCGUGAGUGCUGUUUAUAAAAAUUCAUGAAGACCGUGAACAGAGGCCGUGAUGAUGCCUGCCUCCGGAAUGCAUGUGUUGCAGCGUUCUCGGCACAAGUUGGAAAGUCCUUCAACAACAGAUCCCGACAAUUAGAUGCCGGCAUAAACUAAAAUUAAUCGGAUGAGUCAACCAGAUCAUUUUACCCGUGCUAAAAAGGAAUUUUAACAUCAUGGAGUAUAUUCUAUAGCGCCGGAAAGAUAGGCAGGACA